rnacentral:rRNA from 1 species
AACGAACGCUGGCGGCAUGCCUAACACAUGCAAGUCGAACGGGAUCCUGGUUUCGGCCAGGUGAGAGUGGCGGACGGGUGAGUAACGCGUGGGAACCUGCCCAGUGGUGGGGAUAACUGCGGGAAACUGCAGCUAAUACCGCAUGAGCCCGCGAAAGGGGAAAGAUUGAUCGCCAUUGGAGGGGCCCGCGUUCGAUUAGGUAGUUGGUGAGGUAACGGCUCACCAAGCCUUCGAUCGAUAGCUGGUCUGAGAGGAUGAUCAGCCAC